rnacentral:misc_RNA from 1 species
UACGAAGGUGGCAAGCGUUAUUCGGAAUCACUGGGCAUAAAGGGCCCGUAGGCGGAUCGGUCAGUUGGUGGUGAAAGCCCUCGGCUCAACCGGGGAAUUGCCAUCAAUACUGCCAAUCUAGAGUGCUGGAGGGGUGAGUGGAAUUUCUGGUGGAGCGGUGGAAUGCGUAGAUAUCAGAAAGAACGACGGAGGCGAAAGCGACUCACUGGACAGCAACUGACGCUGAGGGGCGAAAGCUAGGGGAGCGAACGGG